UAAAGCAGAACCGAACCUUGCCAGAUUUUCAGUACACUGAUCAAAAAAAAGAUGUCUUAAUCACUGCAGCGUUAUUUAUUUUCCCAUCAUGUCCGGCCAACCUGCCAAAACGAAAUGCUUGUUUCGCAUUUUGAUUUACUCUUGAUCUCAAGUCCCAAUAUUUCAACUUGGAAUUCAAACACAAUUUUGUUUUUUUUUGUGGAAUUGGCUUUCGCGCUCAACAGCUUUUCACCUUUUCUCCAGACCAACAGAGAUGUUAUUUUUAAUCAGCAAUGUUGAAAAAAAAAAGUGAGACAGUGGUCGUGUCCCCACCCAUGGGCGGAGAGACCCAGGUUCAAGCACCACCUGUUUCAGAGCGAGGUAAUAACGUCUCUGAACAGGUUGGUUCGAAAGAAAAAAAUGGGGUAACUGCAGAGUUCUUGGGCAUUUCAUGUGAUGUAAAUUAGUGUCCCGACCUCUGAGCUUGGAGGCUCAGGUACAGAGCCGAGAACUGUGAAGUCACGUUUCUGAACGAGUUGAUUGGACAAAUGAACAAUUUCAUUAAUACCCCAGUGACUCCCUUAAAAUCUGAUAACUUUUUUUUUAAAAAAACUAAGGAUUGGACUUUGGUCCCGUUUUGUAUUGUUAAUGUUUGACCUCCAAUGAUCCGACAGGCAGUAAGAAAGCUGAAUGAUUUCUUGCCAUGCUGCGACUUCUGUUCCGUGGCCAUUUGAAGAAUACUGUAAGUGAAAAUAAACACUUUGGCAAUACGCAGUGGUUGCUUUACAGCAAGGUGGACAUCUAGUCAAGCAACAACACUGCACCACUACUCACAAAAAAAAUUGGGGAGAUAGCUGCAGUUUAUCGGGAUGGGGAGAAAGGUGCCCAAGAUGCUUAAACGCCCCCUGCAUUUCUCCUUAAUCUGACCACUCCUUCUCUUGAAGGAAUGUGCUUCACUUGUGAAUGUGGUCACUUGAUACACUGCGUGUUCUUUCAGUUACUCAGUUCUGCAGUUUGACCAGUGAAAACUGAUUAGUUGGGCUCGGAUUUCCCUAAAAAAAAUUCACCGGGGUUUCGAACAGCAGGAAGUCUUUCAUAUUACCCCGCCCAAAACGAAUCCCUUGAUGCUCCGGUCUCCGAGUGCCGCAGUGAUUCCUCUCAUUUGCUGAUGUUCACUUUCCUGAUCCUAAUCUCGACCUCGCGGUAGAAGAGUGCAACUGCAGGUAUGGCUAUGUCUGUCACCUGCAAAUGGAGGAAAUGCCAAGGGAUGAAGAAUCUUCAGCUAUAAUGACAGAUCGGAGAGGUUGGAUCUGAUCUACUUGGACAGAAGAAGGCUCAGCGAUCUAAUACACGUUUUCAAAAUAAUGAGGGGAUUGGAUAAAGACACACUGUUCCCACCUGUAAAGGAUCAAGAACAAGAGGGCACAGAUUUGAAGUGAUUUGCGAAAGAAACAAAUGUGAUAUGAGCAAAAAAACUCAUUCCAACAUCAAGUGGUUCAAGCCUAGAAAGCACAACCUGGACAUGUAGUGGAGGCAAGUUCAAUUGGGACAUUCAAGAUGUCAUUGGAUGAGACAAUGCACGAGCCUAUGAAGAAAAGGCAGAAGUACAGCACUAUGCCAUGAUCUUCAUGACAGAGCUGAUGCAAAUAUACAGGCUGGAUGGCCUUCUAUACCAUAGCACUUAUGUUGUUGGGUGACAUGUAACGGGUGCAAAAUUCAAAUUAGUGUAGAUUGGAGAUGAGAUAAAGACAUCCCCUGCAUGGAUCAUAUAAUCCUACCAGCCACUGCUCACAUGGCAAUCUAUUACUGCAAAGGGCACUCAUAGGCAUGUCCAAUGGAAACAUCUCCUGCUGGUGAGGUCAAUA